rnacentral:rRNA from 1 species
AGAGUUUGAUCAUGGCUCAGAACGUACGCUGGCGGCACGCCUAACACAUGCAAGUCGAACGAAGUAGCAAUACUUAGUGGCAAACGGGUGAGUAACAUGUGGGUAUCUGCCCUUCGGCCUGGAAUAACACGAGGAAACUUGUGCUAAUACCGGAUAAGUCUUUUAAGAGAAAGCUUUAUGCACCAAUGGAUGAGCCCGCACCUGAUUAGUUAGUUGGUGGGGUAAUGGCUUACCAAGACAAUGAUCAGUAGCUGAUUUGAGAGGAUGAUCAGCCACAUUGGGACUGAGACACGGCCCAAACUCCUACGGGAGGCAGCAGUGGGGAAUCUUGCACAAUGGGGGAAACCCUGAUGCAGCGAUGCCGCGUGAGUGAAGAAGGCCCUUGGGUUGUAAAGCUCUUUCGUCGGGGAAGAAAAUGACUGUACCCGAAUAAGAAGGUCCGGCUAACUUAGUGCCAGCAGCCGCGGUAAUACGAAGGGCCCUAGCGUAGUUCGGAAUUACUGGGCUUAAAGAGCUCGUAGGUGGUUAAAAAAGUUGGUGGUGAAAUCCCAAGGCUUAACCUUGGAACUGCCACCAAAACUUUUUAACUAGAGUGUGAUAGAGGUAAGUGGAAUUUCUAGUGUAGAGGUGAAAUUCGUAGAUAUUAGAAAGAACACCAAAUGCGAAGGCAACUUACUGGGUCACUACUGACACUGAGGAGCGAAAGCAUGGGUAGCGAAGAGGAUUAGAUACCCUCGUAGUCCAUGUCGUAAACGAUGUGUGCUAGACGUUGGAAACUUAGUUUUCAGUGUCGCAGCGAAAGCGUUAAGCACACCGCCUGGGGAGUACGAUCGCAAGGUUGAAACUCAAAGGAAUUGACGGGGGCCCGCACAAGCGGUGGAGUAUGUGGUUUAAUUCGAUGCAACGCGAAGAACCUUACCUGGGUUUGACAUCCUCGGACCGCUUCAGAGAUGAAGUUUCCUUUUCGGAGGCCGAGUGACAGGUGCUGCAUGGCUGUCGUCAGCUCGUGUCGUGAGAUGUUAGGUUAAGUCCUGCAACGAGCGCAACCCCUGCUCUUAGUUGCCAUCAGGUUAUGCUGGGCACUCUAGGAGGACUGCCGGUAACAAGCCGGAGGAGGGUGUGGAUGACGUCAAGUCCUCAUGGCCUUUAUGACCAGGGCUACACACGUGUUACAAUGGGAGUUACAGAGGGAAGCUAAACCGCGAGGUCAUGCCAAUCCCAGAAAAACUUUCUCAGUUCGGAUCGCAGUCUGCAACUCGACUGCGUGAAGCUGGAAUCGCUAGUAAUCGCGGAUCAGCACGCCGCGGUGAAUACGUUCCCGGGCCUUGUACACACCGCCCGUCACCCCAUGGGAGCCGACAAGGGCAGAAGUCGCCGAGCUAACCCAGC